AGUUCGGGCUUAUUACUUUCUUGAACCCUUUCUUGGUAUACGUACAAUGACUAGAGUUUGACUCCUAGAACCACCUGAUUUUAGGGCUAGAGGGACUUAUAGGUUUAUUUUGCCAAAACCCUUUAUUUUAGACUUGUGGUAAGAGAGGUCUAAAGAGGUUAAGUACUACUUUUAAUUAUUGAAGGCAGAACCAGUUGUAACAGAGGUUUCAUGAUUCUUUAUAUAUCUUGAAGCCCACGUAUCUGGAUGAAAUUCUAGCAACUCAGCCUCUUCCUUGAAGCCUAGUUGUAAUCUUUAUGACAACUGACUUUUCUGCUCAGAUAGGAUUCAUCUAUCUGCUGGGCUCCAAUAACAUUUGGUAUAUACCUCUGUUGCCUUACUUUUUCCUUUAUUGUAUUGUUUACUUUUACUGUUUAUUCCUUCUCUGGACUGUGAAUUCCUGGAAGUCAGAGACUAUUUCUGUGAGUCAAACUGGACUAAUAUUGGAAAGUAAUCAUAGUCUACACACGCACACACACACACACA